rnacentral:lncRNA from 1 species
GAGCUGCUGAGACAGUGCACCUGCACAGGUAGGUGACAACAGGUGGGGGAGAGGUUGGAGGAGAGAGCCCUUGCUCCCCAGGAUAGGAGGUUGCUGAUGAAUCCAUUUGCCUUUUCCAAAAGCUAAUGCUGGGGUAAGAGGCUGGGCUGGUACUGGGAGUGAAUAUGGGAGAUGGGAGAACAGCCCUUAAGUCCCAGGGGCUGGCCCCAGCUUGGACUGGACAUGGUGUUAGAUAAGGUGUCCUCAAGACUGGCCGUCAAGGGUCCCCUCCCCAUGUCUGCUGGGGAACUGUGUCCCUGCUGCUCCGGGCUCAGCUGGGAGAAGAUGGGGGAAGGGCGUCAAUUGACCCCAUGCCCUGAACACUUCAGGAGGCAGGAAACUCUUGGGUUGGAGCCAGCUUCCCAGUGGGUUUAAGAAGAGAUUUAGUGUGUAUAUGUUUGUGAGCACGCACUCACGUGUGUGUGUGUGUGUGUGUGUGUAUGUAUGUGUGUGUAUGCCUGCGAGAUUAUGGCUCCUUGUCUCCAUUGAUCUGUGUAUGUGUGUCUAGGGAGUGUGAGUAUAUGCAUUGGGUUUUGAGACAGAUUUGUUUUUCUGGCUAUAUCUCUCAAGUGUGGGUGUAUUCUAUAUGUUACUUUGAAUGUGUAGCUAUACUUCUGUACUUCUCUAUGAGAUGGUGUGUGAUCGUGUGUGGUAGGGGGUGUGUUGUAACUGUGUAUCUCUAUGAAUAUUUGUGUAAAUGGUGUCUUGCAAAAAAACUAUCCUCCUAUCUAUGUGACAGUGGUGUAAUUGUUCAUGUCUUAUUACCUUGGUUUCUUUGUAUGUGAAAGUUGUAUGUGAAAUACACAUACUAUGUGUAUUUGUACAUUAAUAUAUCUCUCCUGUGAACUUAGGUAUAACUGUUUCUGAUUAUGUACAUGUAACCGUACGUGCUUAUCCCCUUUCCCUCGUGACGAGGUGCUCUGGAUGUGACCAAUGGCUGGUAGGCACCUGUGUGCAGGCUGUAUGCACAUGUAUGGCUGUCUCUGGUGAUGUAUGCGUGUGUGUGUGUGUGUGUGUGUGUGUGUGUGUGUAUGCGUGCUCAUGGCGCUUCCUUUUUCUUAGUGCCAUGCAAACAUAGUAAGUGCCUGAGGUGGACGUGGUUGUGCCAGACAGGGUGGGGCAAGGUAUGCAGUUAUGUUGGUGGGUCGAGUGAGGUCACCUGAGUUGAGGUCACAGGCGGGAAUCUAAAGUGGCUCAGCAGCAGGAGAGUAAAAAGGCACAGGCUUUACUACUGAACUGUCCUGAGUUCAAUUCCUAGAUCUUCCCCUGAUCAGAACGAGCUACUUAAACUCUGAGUCUCAGUUUCCACAUCUGUAAAAUGGGCAUAAUCAUAUCUAUGGCACACAGUUGUUUUAUGGAUUGGGGACAAAAGAUAAGCAACUGGCCUGGCACAUUAUACUAAUAAAAUAGUAGAAGUAAUCGUCAUAAUAAUAAUAAUAAACCACUCAGUGCUUACUAUUCAGUAUUUACUUUCUUUACUCUUCACAUUAACUCUGUAAGGGUCCUUGAUGUUUCAGAGAUGAGUAAACUGAAGCAGAGUAUGAAUAACCAAGAUCAGACAGCUGGUAAAGGUGCCGUUUCUGCUCGCAAAUGAUAGUUUUAUUUGGAAAGCAGGUGCUUCCUGCAACUACUGAUAAUAUUAUUCCUUAAAUAUGGAGGCGUAUUAGACCGGGAGCACUUUGUUCCCCUUUACAGGGGCCCCCUUCUCAAGUCAUCGUCCCCUUUCCUCCCCACUCCCCCGUUCCUCACCCUGCAACCCAGCGGAGCUGAUGGCUCCUGGGACUGUUUUGGGGGACUGGACAAAAGAGGCUGAGGAGGAGGAAAUGCCCCACGCUCCUGGCGCCUCUUGCCAGCCUUGAUCGACACCAAAGAUUCCGUAAUCUCUCUCUGCCCCGAGGGGAGCGGCAGCGUUUGCGAAACAGAUUUUUACAAAAUGUUUUGACCCUGCUCUCCCCUCCCCCCGCAUCCCUGCCUGGCACCGUGUCACCUAAUUAAAUCAGCCUUCGCGGGCGUCUCCGUUCCCCGCUAAUUGUGCCCUGGGCCGGCUUCAGGAGACCGCUCUCCCCGCCCCCCCCACCUUCCCCCCCCCCCCCCCCCCCCCCCGGCUACUACCAAAAACGGCGGGGGUUGGGGUAGGUGCCUACUGGGGGCUGUGUCAGGGGCAGAGGUUCCCUAGGGGCCUCCCGUGGCGAUUUCUGUGGUCCUCCCCCCAGGUUAUUCUGCAACCCAGGAGACUGAGGCACCCUCUCUAGCCCCCACCCGGCCCGGCUUCCUGCUCAAGGACGGGGGCGCAGGUCUGAAAUGACCCAGGGCCUGGGGGAGGCCAGCCCGAGCGUAUCCGGGUAAUUGUCUCCGCCAGACGCGUUGCCGAAGCAGGCGGCUCGGAAAAUCCCAGAUUUCUUUCCCCUUCACCGGCUGCGCUGGGCCCGCCGGAAGCCGGGCGGCUUUAUUUACAGAUCCUCCCGCGAGCGCCGGCGGAGGCCUGGCUGGGAGGGCGCGCGGCCGCCACCUCUGUCCAAGGUGCUGAAUGCGCACAGGGCUGGGCGGCUCUUCUGUGUUUGCCAGGAUAAUGACUAAAAAUCAUUACCAGGAGACUUUUAAGGUCAA